rnacentral:rRNA from 1 species
GACGAACGCUGGCGGCGUGCUUAACACAUGCAAGUCGAACGGAAAGGCCCUGCUCUUGUGGGGUGCUCGAGUGGCGAACGGGUGAGUAACACGUGAGUAACCUGCCCUUGACUUUGGGAUAACUUCAGGAAACUGGGGAUAAUACCGGAUAGGAGCUCCUGCUGCAUGGUGGGGGAUGGAAAGUUUCGGCGGUUGGGGAUGGACUCGCGGCUUAUCAGCUUGUUGGUGUGGUAGUGGCUUACCAAGGGUUUGACGGGUAGCCGGCCUGAGAGGGUGACCGGCCACAUUGGGACUGAGAGACGGACCAGACUCCUACGGGACGCAGAAGGGGGGAAUAUGGCAGAAUGGGCGGAAGCCUGAUGCAGCAGCGCCGGGUGCGGGAUGACCGCCUACGGGGUAUAAACCGCUUUGGCCGUUGACGAAGCGUGAGUGACGGUAAUGGGUAAGGAAGCACCGGCUAACUACGUG